GGGGCCGUAGCUCAGUAGAGAGAGCAUCUGCCUUACACGCAGAAAGUCGUCAGUUCAAGCCUGACCAGUCCUACCA
rnacentral:tRNA from 1 species